rnacentral:rRNA from 1 species
GGAUAACCUACCCUUAGGACUGGGAUAACCCUGGGAAACUGGGGAUAAUACCGGAUAGGCAAUUUUUCCUGGAAUGGUUUUUUGUUUAAAUGUUUUUUCGCCUAAGGAUGGGUCUGCGGCCGAUUAGGUAGUUGGUUAGGUAACGGCUUACCAAGCCGUCGAUCGGUACGGGUUGUGAGAGCAAGAGCCCGGAGAUGGAACCUGAGACAAGGUUCCAGGCCCUACGGGGUGCAGCAGGCGCGAAACCUCCGCAAUGUGAGAAAUCGCGACGGGGGGAUCCCAAGUGCCAUUCUUAACGGGAUGGCUUUUCAUUAGUGUAAAGAGCUUUUGGAAUAAGGGCUGGGCAAGACCGGUGCCAGCCGCCGCGGUAACACCGGCAGCUCUAGUGGUAGCAGUUUUUAUUGGGCCUAAAGCGUCCGUAGCCGGUUUAAUAAGUCUCUGGUGAAAUCCUGUAGCUUAACUGUGGGAAUUGCUGGAGAUACUAUUAGACUUGAGACCGGGAGAGGUUAGAGGUACUCCCAGGGUAGAGGUGAAAUUCUGUAAUCCUGGGAGGACCGCCUGUUGCGAAGGCGUCUAACUGGAACGGUUCUGACGGUGAGGGACGAAAGUUAGGGGCGCGAACCGGAUUAGAUACCCGGGUAGUCCUAACUGUAAACGAUGCGGACUUGGUGUUGGGGGUGGCUUUGAGCUGCUCCAGUGCCGAAGGGAAGCUGUUAAGUCCGCCGCCU